rnacentral:rRNA from 1 species
UACGUAGGGUGCAAGCGUUGUCCGGAAUUAUUGGGCGUAAAGAGCUCGUAGGUGGCCUGUCGCGUCGGCUGUGAAAACUCGGGGCUCAACUCCGAGCUUGCAGUCGAUACGGGCAGGCUAGAGUUCGGCAGGGGAGACUGGAAUUCCCGGUGUAGCGGUGAAAUGCGCAGAUAUCGGGAGGAACACCGGUGGCGAAGGCGGUUCUCUGGGCCUGUACUGACGCUGAGGAGCGAAAGCGUGGGGAGCGAACAGG